rnacentral:rRNA from 1 species
CGGAAUUACGUGGGACGUAAAGCGCACGUAGGCGGAUCAGAAGUUGGGGUGAAAUCCCCAGGGCUCAACCCUGGAACGGCCUCCAAAACUCCUGGUCUUGAGUUCGAGAGAGGUGAGUGGAAUUCCGAGUGUAGAGGUGAAAUUCGUAGAUAUUCGGAGGAACACCAGUGGACGAAGGCGGCUCACUGGCUCGAUACUGACGCUGAGGUGCGAAAGUGUGGGGAGCAAACAGGAUUAGAUACCCUGGUAG